rnacentral:lncRNA from 1 species
AGCGCUUUGAUGACAUUUGGAAAGUGCCGAAAUAUUCUCGAUGGCUGAAAGCAAUAUAAAUAUAAUGUGACGAUAAUACUAGGGUGCAAGUCUAACGAACAGCGUAUAUCGUGAUGCUCAUGCCGAGAUUCUGACGGCAACACGAGCAUUUCACGGUGGAUGUGCCGCAACGCUCCCGAAAAAUUACAAAGAUUCUCACGGCUGCCCGAAUAAACCAAACGAGUGUAAUGCAUAUUGUCGAAAUCUUUGGGGUUAUGUGCGUGGACACUGCAGCUAUCUCGUGGAGUGGCUCUGCCUAUGCGAUGUUACUCA